UGCCCAAGGCUGCAUGACUAUUAAGUGGUACAGCCAGGAUUCAAACUCUGGCCAUCUGGCACAGGAGCCUGUGUUUUUAAACCAAUAUACUCUGCUGUUCAGGCACUUUCCGUGAAGUAUGAAUGGAUGGGCAAGAGGAGGGAGAGGCCUUUUUUUCUGCCACCUGGGGCCCCAAAGGCUCUCCCUCCCACAUUGGGUCCUACAGCUGAGUAGGAGAGGACGACCCACUUGUGCUCUCCCAACACACUUCAGGCCCCAGAGUCUGGGCCCCAGGACCCACUUCAAGAGCUCGGCCCCUUUGUGCGGCUAUCCACAUGCCCUGUGCCCAUCAGCUCUGUGGAAGGAGCACCAGCAGAGACAGCAAAGAUGUGCACUCCGAUGUGGAUGACUCUGCCCAGCAAAACUCAUCCCAGUCUGAUGUGGGGCUCCCAGGCUUGAGAAGCCUGGAGUGGGUGUUGGAGAGAGUCACCACCAUCUUCUCAGGGUGUUGGAGGGAGCCACCACCAUCUUCUCAAGGCCCCAGUGCACCCAGGGAGUGAGCAGGAGCCUUGCCAGGGCUCUCCUUCUCAUUUGGGCCUCUCCAGCAGGCUGCCCUCCUUCCAAGAGAUUACACAUGGAUUGAGUGCAUAGAAUUAUUAGUCUGGGUGAUCCGGAUUCUACUUCCAGCUCUGCCCCUUUCUACCAGGGAGACAUUGAGCAUGUGUCUUGGCUUCUCUCACCCUUAAUUUGUUCAUCUGCAAAAUAGGGGGUGAUGUUCAUAGUACACCUAACAGGACUCUGAAGAUUCAUGCACAAUUACUACUUGCCAGAAAGCAAGUGCUCGAUUAGCAGUAACUGCCUUAAAAUUUUUUUUUCUGCUGUAUAAGGGGUGCAAGUCAGAGGGAGGAUCUGGACUAGAAAAUCUUGGAGAUCUUGGGCAUAUUGUGGACACUGGAUAAACUACACAUUGAAUUGAGGCUUGAUUCUGAUUAAAAGUCAAGAUAUGGCCUUUUAUCAGAAAACUGUAUAGAGGGAUGCCUGGGUGGCUGAGCGGUUGAGUGUCUGCCUUUGACUCAGGGCGUGGUCCCGGAGUUCCGAGAUCAAGUCCCACAUGGGGCUCCCUGCAUGAAGCCUGCUUCUCCCUCUGCCUAUGUCUCUGCCUCUCUCUCUCGGUGUCUCUCAUGAAUAAGUAAAUAAAAUCUUAAAAAAAACUUUAUAUAUACUCUGU
rnacentral:lncRNA from 12 species